rnacentral:rRNA from 1 species
CCUAUUGGCCUUACCACCCCUUAUGCACCUGAUCUAGUCUGAUCUCAGAAGCUAAGCAGGGUCGGGCCUGGUUAGAACUUGGGAGAUCACCUGGGACUAUCAAGUGCUGUACUC